rnacentral:lncRNA from 1 species
UUCCAGUGCCUUGGAACCCUUAACUGAAAGUACCUGCAAAGUCAGCCAGCCAGCGAGCUAAUUGCCUUCUGAGCCAAGCAACGUUGAAGAAUUUAUAAAUUGUUUUCUCUCCAAUCCACUGAAUGCUGGUCAGGCACUUCAGAAUCCAGUAUUUCCCAACUGAACCACCCAGGGGUAUAAUAUACAGUAUUGUGCCUGGAUCACAGAAGGAGACCAAAAAAUUUAUGUUGAAAUUAAUGAACUAAAUAAAGGAAAUCCAGGAGUGGUAAGUUUUGGGAGGAAGAAAGAAGAUGUCCAAAUCUUGAAGUG